UAGGGAAGUCUUCCACAAUGGACGAAAGCCUGAUGGAGCAACGCCGCGUGUGUGAUGAAGGGUUUCGGCUCGUAAAACACUGUUGUAAGAGAAGAAUGACAUUGAGAGUAACUGUUCAAUGUGUGACGGUAUCUUACCAGAAAGGAACGGCUAAAUACGUGUCAG
rnacentral:rRNA from 1 species